rnacentral:rRNA from 1 species
CCUACGGGAGGCAGCAGUGAGGAAUAUUGGUCAAUGGGCGAGAGCCUGAACCAGCCAAGUCGCGUGAGGGAGUACUGCCCUAUGGGUUGUAAACCUCUUUUGUCGGGGAGCAAAAGCCGGACGUGUCCGGCUGUGAGAAUAACCGAAGAAAAAGCAUCGGCUAACUCCGUGCCAGCAGCCGCGGUAAUACGGAGGAUGCGAGCGUUAUCCGGAUUUAUUGGGUUUAAAGGGUGCGCAGGCGGAUUGUUAAGUCAGCGGUAAAAUCGUGGGGCUCAACCCCAUCCAGCCGUUGAAACUGGGGAUCUAGAGUGGGCGAGAGGUAUGCGGAAUGCGUGGUGUAGCGGUGAAAUGCAUAGAUAUCACGCAGAACCCCGAUUGCGAAGGCAGCAUACCGGUGCACAACUGACGCUCAGGCACGAAAGCGUGGGUAUCGAACAGGAUUAGAUACCCGGGUAGUC